UUACGAUCACAUCACAUUGAAACAGCAGUUCUCGGACGAUCAACCGGAGUUAAGCAACGCCGGGCCUGGUCAGUACCUAGAUGGGUGACCGUUUGUGAAUACCAGGUGCUAUAA